GACGAACGCUGGCGGCGUGCUUAACACAUGCAAGUCGAACGAUGAACCCGGAGCUUGCUCCGGCGGAUUAGUGGCGAACGGGUGGUAACACGUGAGUAACCUGCCCUUGACUCUGGGAUAACUGCGGGAAACUGUAGCUAAUACCGGAUACGACCCUCGGCGGCAUCGCCAGGGGGUGGAAAGAAUUUCGGUCAAGGAUGGACUCGCGGCCUAUCAGCUAGUUGGUGAGGUAACGGCUCACCAAGGCGACGACGGGUAGCCGGCCUGAGAGGGGGACCGGCCACACUGGGACUGAGACACGGCCCAGACUCCUACGGGAGGCAGCAGUUGGGAAUAUUGCACAAUGGGCGCAAGCCUGAUGCAGCAACGCCGCGUGAGGGAUGACGGCCUUCGGGUUGUAAACCUCUUUUAGUAGGGAAGAAGCGAAAGUGACGGUACCUGCAGAAAAAGCACCGGCUAACUACGUGCCAGCCGCCGCAGUAA
rnacentral:rRNA from 1 species